CAUGUAUUUAUUUUGUGUUUAUCUACAUCUUUCUUUCUUACUUUUAAUUUUUAUAAAUAGUAGUAUAUAAUUAGUAGUAGAAUAAUAGAUUUAUCAUUAUACUAAAAUAUUAAAAAUAAUUUUAUAAAAGAAAAAAACGGUUUGUAUUUGUUUGUAAACGCAAUAUUUCCAUGGUAUUUUAUUUUUAAUUCUUAUUAUUUGGUUCCAAGAACAUUUAUUUGUUAUUAAGUUGAAAAUUUUAAUAUUUUUUUUUAUUUUUUAAAUAAUUUUUAUUUUAAUAUAUUUUUUGAAAACCAGUUUAUG
rnacentral:lncRNA from 1 species